rnacentral:rRNA from 1 species
AUGCAGACACUCCAUUUCUCCAACAAGAAAUGCAGCAAAAUAUUAGGCAUACCUUCCUUUGGCCUUACUCUUGUGCUGCUGGUCUGCUUGGCCUCUCCUAUCAGUUCCUGCAUGGAGCAGGAGAAGGGCGCCCUUCUCCAGUUCCUUGCCGAGCUCUCACAAGACGGCGGCCUUGCUGCCUCAUGGCAGAAUGGCACGGAUUGCUGCAAGUGGGAAGGGAUCACCUGCAGGCAAGAUGGGACGGUCACCGCUGUCUUGCUGCCUUCGAAGGGCCUUGAGGGGCACAUCUCACAAUCCCUUGGGAUCCUCAUUGGGCUGCAGUACCUUGAUCUCUCUGGCAAUUCGUUGUCCGGUGGUCUGCCGCUGGAAUUGCUAUCGUCCAGCAGCAUUACUACCCUUGAUGUUAGCUUUAACCAGCUCAACGGAACACUCCAAGAGCUGCCAUCGUCAACCCCUGGCAGGCCUCUGCAGGUACUAAACAUCUCAAGCAACUUAUUUGCAGGACAGUUUCCAUCCACCACAUGGAAAACAAUGGAGAAUCUGAUUGCAAUCAAUGCCAGCAAUAACAGCUUUACUGGGCAGAUACCAACUCAACUCUGUAGCACCUCGCCAUCCCUCGCUCUGCUGGAUCUGUGUUUCAACAAAUUCAGUGGCAGCAUCCCCCCAGGACUUGGUGAUUGCUCCAAGCUGAGAGAGCUCAGGGCCGGGUAUAACAACCUCGGUGGAACACUCCCAGAUGAACUUUUCAAUGCUACCUCGUUGGAACACCUGUCUUUUCCUAACAAUGGAUUACAUGGAGCUAUUGAUGGUACAAACAUAGCCAACCUCAGAAAUCUUGUAGUCCUUGAUCUUGGAAGAAACAACUUCAGUGGCAAGAUUCCAGAUUAUAUAGGCCAGCUCAAGAGACUGGAAGAGUUCCAUUUGGGCAACAACAACAUGUCAGGGAAGCUCCCGUCUUCUCUUAGCAACUGCACAAAUCUCAUAAUAGUUGACCUCAAGAGCAACAACCUCAGUGGAGAGCUUACCAAGGUCAAUUUCUCCAACCUGCCCAAUCUAAAAACAUUAGAUCUUUGGUUAAACAGCUUCACAGGUACAGUUCCAGAAAGCCUAUACUCAUGCAGUAAUCUGACUGCACUGCGGCUAUCAAGCAACAACUUACAUGGGCAGCUCUCAUCGAGAAUAGGCAAUCUGAAGUAUCUCUCCUUCUUGUCACUUGGUAAAAACAAUUUCACAAACAUCACAAAUGCAAUUCAGAUCCUCAAGAGCAGCACGAAUCUUACCACCCUACUUAUCAGGAACAACUUCAGGGGGGAGCGCAUGCCAGAGGAUGACAUAAUUGAUGGCUUUGAGAAUCUUCAGGUUUUGAGCAUUGGAGGUUGCCAAUUGUAUGGAACAAUACCUCUAUGGAUAUCAAGGCUCAGAAAUUUGGGGAUGUUACUUUUAAAUAGCAAUCAACUCACAGGACCAAUACCAGGCUGGAUAAACUCCCUAAGCCAUCUCUUCUUUGUGGAUGUGUCAAAUAAUAGUCUUACAGGAGAAACCCCAUUAACCUUGAUGGAGAUGCCAAUGCUAAAAUCAACUGAAAACGCAACUCAUCUGGACCCAAGGAUCUUUGAGCUGCCUGUAUAUGAUGGUCCAUCACUUCAAUACCGUGUUGUUACAUCUUUCCCAACAAUGUUGAAUCUGAGCAACAACAACUUCACAGGUUUGAUUCCCGAACAGAUUGGUCAGUUGAAAGUGCUUGCUUUACUUGAUCUCAGCUUCAACAAGUUAUCUGGGCAGAUCCCCCAAUCUAUUUGCAACCUGACAAAGUUGCAACUGCUAGACUUGUCCAGCAACAACCUCACAGGUGCUAUCCCAGCUGAAUUGAAUAGCCUGAACUUCCUUUCAGCAUUCAACAUUUCAAACAAUGACCUAGAAGGGCCUAUUCCAUCUGGAGGCCAGUUUAAUACAUUCCAGAAUUCUAGUUUCGAUGGGAAUCCAAAGCUGUGUGGCUCUGUGCUCACUCACAAAUGUGGUUCAGAUUCAUUAUCUAUGUCCACCAGAAAAAAACGAGAUAGGAAGGCUGUUUUUGCGAUUGCAUUUGGUGUGUUCUUCGGUGGGAUCACAAUUCUUCUGUUUCUGGCGUGUCUCCUUGUCUCAAUCAGGCAGAAGGGUUUUAGGGCAAAGAAUAGAAGGGAAAGUAACGGAGAAGCUGAAGCAACUUCAUUCUACUCUAGUUCAGAGCAAACAUUAGUGGUGACGCGGAUGGCGCAAGGCCAGGGUGAAGAAAACAAGCUCAAAUUCAAUGACAUUUUGAAAGCUACGAACAACUUUGACAAGGAAAACAUCAUUGGAUGUGGAGGGUAUGGGUUAGUCUACAAGGCAGAGCUACCUGAUGGCUCCAAGCUGGCAAUUAAAAAGCUAAACGAUGAAAUGUGUCUGAUGGAAAGAGAGUUCACUGCCGAGGUUGAUGCUCUCUCCAUGGCACAACAUGAAAAUCUUGUACCUCUGUGGGGUUACUGCAUCCAGGGAAACUCAAGGUUUCUCGUAUAUUCCUACAUGGAGAAUGGAAGCCUGGAUGAUUGGCUGCAUAACAAGGAUGAUGAUGCUAGCUCAUCUCUUGACUGGCCGACUCGGCUGAAGAUCGCAAAAGGAGCUAGCCUGGGACUUUCUCAUAUCCAUGAUGUCUGCAACCCUCAAAUUGUCCAUCGAGACAUCAAAUCCAGUAAUAUCCUACUGGACAAAGAAUUUAAAGCUUAUGUUGCAGACUUUGGGCUAGCCAGAUUGAUUCUUCCCAACCAAACUCAUGUAACAACUGAACUUGUCGGUACUAUGGGUUACAUUCCCCCUGAGUAUGGGCAAGCAUGGGUUGCUACAUUGAGAGGCGAUAUGUACAGUUUCGGAGUAGUACUGCUUGAGCUGCUCACUGGAAUGCGACCUGUUCCAGUCCUAUCAACAUCAAAAGAACUUGUCCCAUGGGUGCUGCAGAUGAGGUCCGAGGAAAGGCAAGUUGAGGUCUUGGAUCCAACACUUAGAGGAACAGGAUACGAAGAGCAAAUGCUGAAGGUUCUUGAAGCCGCUUGCAAAUGUGUCGACCAAAAUCAGUUUUCGAGGCCAACUGUCAUGGAAGUAGUCUCCUGCCUGGUCAAUAUAGGCAUAUGCAAAGAUCAGCCAAAAUACAAUGAACUAAAAACAUGA